rnacentral:rRNA from 1 species
AGAAUCAACGCUGGCGGCGUGCCUAACACAUGCAAGUCGAACGAGAAGGUGGAGCAAUCCAUGAGUAAAGUGGCGACCGGGUGAGUAACACGUGACUAACCUACCUUCGAGUGGGGGAUAACAUCGGGAAACCGAUGCUAAUACCGCAUAACAUCGCAAGAUCAAAGCAGCAAUGCGCUGGAAGAGGGGGUCGCGGCUGAUUAGCUAGUUGGCGGGGUAACGGCCCACCAAGGCGAAGAUCGGUA